GGCUGGAGUCUGGUCUCACACAGGUGUUACAGUUUCCCAUACUCUGUGAUGCUUAAAGGCUUGAGAGAAAAAACAAAAGGGAAGAAAGGUGUAAGGUGGUUCUGAAUUGUGGCGAAAGAAGGGUUUCGGCCUUUCUGGGCGGUGAACGGCGGUGGAGAAGGAUGGGGAGAUGGAGGUCCAGCGGGAAAUGAUUGGGUUGGGUAGGAGGAAGAGGGAGGGAGAAGAAAACGCGGGGUUUAGUUGAG
rnacentral:misc_RNA from 1 species